UACGUAGGGUGCAAGCGUUGUCCGGAAUUAUUGGGCGUAAAGAGCUCGUAGGCGGUUUGUUGCGUCGGCUGUGAAAUCCCGAGGCUCAACCUCGGGUCUGCAGUCGAUACGAGCAAACUAGAGUGUUGCAGGGGAGACUGGAAUUCCUGGUGUAGCGGUGAAAUGCGCAGAUAUCAGGAGGAACACCGGUGGCGAAGGCGGGUCUCUGGACAGUUCCUGACACUGAGACACGAAGCCAGGGGAGCAAACGGG
rnacentral:rRNA from 1 species